GACGAACGCUGGCGGCGUGCCUAACACAUGCAAGUCGAGCGAUGAAAUUCCCUUCGGGGAAUGGAUUAGCGGCGGACGGGUGAGUAACACGUGGGCAACCUGCCUCAAAGUGGGGAAUAGCCCUCCGAAAGGAGGAGUAAUACCGCAUAACAUGGUAAAAUCGCAUGAUUUAAUCAUUAAAGAUUUAUCGCUUUGAGAUGGGCCCGCGGCGCAUUAGCUAGUUGGUAAGGUAAUGGCUUACCAAGGCGACGAUGCGUAGCCGACCUGAGAGGGUGAUCGGCCACAUUGGAACUGAGAUACGGUCCAGACUCCUACGGGAGGCAGCAGUGGGGAAUAUUGCGCAAUGGGGGAAACCCUGACGCAGCAACGCCGCGUGGGUGAUGAAGGUCUUCGGAUUGUAAAACCCUGUCUUUGGGGACGAUAAUGACGGUACCCAAGGAGGAAGCCACGGCUAACUACGUG
rnacentral:rRNA from 1 species